CAAUCGAACCCGGAGAUAGCUGGUUCUCCCCGAAAUAGCUUUAGGGCUAGCCCCGUCUAUGCCUGCCGGAGGUAGAGCACUGAAUUUCCGCGGGGGCGUCAAAGCCUACCAAAGAAUAUCAAACUCCGAAUGCCGGAAAGGUGAAGGACGGGAGUCAGGCUGCACGAGAUAAGUUGGGCAGCCAAAAGGGAAAGAGCCCAGACCCGCGGCUAAGGCCCCCAAGUACGUGUUAAGUGGAAAAGGAUGUGGGAUUCCGAAGACAGCCAGGAUGUUGGCUCAGAAGCAGCCAUACAUUCAAAGAGUGCGUAACAGCUCACUGGCCGAGGGGUCCUGCGCCGAAAAUGUCCGGGGCUGAAACACGUCGCCGAAGCCCGGGAUCCAUACUUAAAGUAUGGGUGGUAGGGGAGCAUCGCCGGCACAAAGAAGCCGUACCGAAAGGAGCGGUGGAGUGCCGGGGAGAGAGAAUGCCGGAAUGAGUAGCGAGACGGGGGUGGGAAUCCCCCGGGCCGGAUGUCCAAGGUUUCCAGGGUAAAGCUGAUCUGCCCUGGGUGAGUCGGGGCCUAAGGCGAGGCUGAAAAGCGUAGCCGAUGGAUAACAGGUAGAGAUUCCUGUACUGCCUUAUAACAGAAGAUGCGGGGACGCGUUGGCAAAGUGUGAGCCGGGAAAGGAAAAACCGGUGCAAGGACGAGAGGCGUCGGAGGGGAAAGUCCCUUCCGGCAGCAAGCCGGCCGUCUGAUGCAUAGCGAAAAAGAGUAGCGAAACACAUGGAGCGGGCGCCGAGAAAAGCCGCUAUUGUUUGUAAGGUACCCGUACCGAAGACCGACACAGGUGGACAGGGAGAGGAUCCCAAGGCCGGCGGGCGAAGCACUGCCAAGGAACUCGGCAAAAUGGCCCCGUAACUUCGGGAGAAGGGGCGCCCCCGUGAGGGGGCCGCAGAGAAUAGGCCCAAGCAACUGUUUAGCAAAAACACAGGUCUGUGCAAAACCGCAAGGUGAAGUAUACGGGCUGACGCCUGCCCGGUGCUGGAAGGUUAAGGGGAGGGGUAAGCGGGAAACCGCGAAGCUCCGAGCCUAAGCCCCAGUAAACGGCGGCCGUAACUAUAACGGUCCUAAGGUAGCGAAAUUCAUUGUCGGGCAAGUUCCGACCCGCACGAAAGGCGUAAUGAUUUGGGCGCUGUCUCGGCAGUGCACCCGGUGAAAUUGAAGUGCCAGUGAAGAUGCUGGCUACCUGCGCCAGGAC
rnacentral:rRNA from 1 species